UUAAGUUCAGCGGGUAUCCCUACCUGAUCCGAGGUCAAAUUCAUGGGGGUAGCUUCUGGGAGCCGAUCCGUCGGGCCCGAGUUCGCGUUUCUGCUGCGCUCGAAGCCAACGUGCCGGCCGCCAAUAGAUUUGAGGCGGACGUCCGCGCGUGAGGCAGGACAGACGCCCAACACCAAGCAGAGCUUGAAGGUUUGAAUGAC
rnacentral:misc_RNA from 1 species